rnacentral:lncRNA from 1 species
UUUUUUUUUUUUUUUUUUGUCAAAAAAAAUUUUUUUUUUUGUCUUCGUCCUUGUUUGAUUCCUCGACUUUAGGGCAUUCAAUAUGAAUUUUGCACAUGGGACUAAUUGAAGAUUAGGAAAAGUGCCACUAGCUCAUCCAAUUCUGGUUGCUUUUGUUGAUUCCUGAUGCGGUGCAUGUAAUGUUUUGUCAAUCAAAGGCCUCAUUCAACCUAUAAAAUCACCCACCUAUAGUCAAUGUAUGCGUCAUUUGUCCUCGCUCGGUUCCUUUCUCCAGCAGAAGCCUUUGGGGAUUUAAAUUCAGUGCACAAUGAACCUUUUCUUGCGUUUUUUCUGGCAAUUGACAUCAGUUCCAAAGUUUCAGUUGAUCGUUGCUCGUGAUCCCGCUUGAUUUGAGGACAGUACAAACUACUACUUUCAACCUGUCUUUCUCAUGAAUUUCUCCAGGAACCAACGAAUAUAACCCAGAAAGCAGACUCUUACAUUAAAAAGGGGUUUUGGCAGCAUGUUGCAAGUAGCUUUAAAAAUGAGCUCUUUGUCUAUAGCAACUCCAUUGUAAUUGUGAACCUCUACUAUGACAUGUUAUCAAGCAUACAAGCUUAAAAUGUGCUAAUUGGAUGGAUGGUUGGGUAAUUUAGAGUUGAACUAACUGUGCAUUUAUUUAUCAAGCAAGUGGUCGCUAUUAAACUUUCAUUUAAGCUCGCAGUUGCAUCGGCCAAAUUUGCAAUGAACCAGACACUUUGGAGGACGAUUCCAAGAUCAUUUUCGAUGUGGUAUAAUAAGACUAGUGUCAGCUUAACCAAUCAGGGGACCCAUAAUGGUUAGUAUCAUUAAAUAGUAGUAGUAGCAUAUGGUUUUCUUGUGCGCACUGCACUAUACAUAUUAGUAAUUAAGUACUUAUCAACAUCAAAGUUGUGGCGGACAAUAUGAUUCCAUUCCAAGUUGGAGCCAAUCCCAUUCCCAGGCCAACUACUGAUCUUGAAAUUCCAGCAACGUAGCAGAGCCUAACUUGAGGCGGGCCACUCACCGUUCACCAAUCGCCAACCCUUUUUUGUUUGCACAAUCGUAAAGCACAUGUUAGUUUCUUCUACUAUUACUUGCACGAUCAUUUUUGAGGAUAUUAAAGAAACGAAAUGCGAAUUUCGGAAAGCUCUGCGCUUUCUCCUCCUUUUUCACUUCUGAUCAUAUCGACUGGGGCAGCAAAAGUAAAAAAAUUUUCUUUAGUAAACUUUCAGACGUGGCAAAUGAACAAGAUGAAUUUGAUUCACGAUUGUUAAAAGAAUCGCAUACGUUGGGUGAAUGUCAGUACCAGCAAUUAAAUUAAUCUACAUAGGAUCUGUACAUAAAUUGCAUGGAAAAUUUGUGGUUUUACAAUCUUCAGUGGAUAGUCUCUGUCAAGGUGAAUCUAAAUCCACGUCUCGAUCCAAAACGGUGGCAUCGGGAUCAUCAUCAUCAUCACGUGCAUGGGCAAAGAGUCGAGAAAUGAACUAGUAGUAUAACUGAAGCAAAGACAGUGUGGCAAAGGUGAUGAUUGAAGCUAUUGGAGUAGAGUGCAAGCCAAAGUUAGAAAUGGUCCUUGAUGAGUCCCCUGUCAAAAAGUUUGGCAUCCACGAAGUGAAUGGAUCUUGAUCCUCUGGUUGUGACCCUGGGUUGCUCGAACCACCAACUGUUCCUGUUGCAACCGGUGGCCCGUUUGUUGAGUCUGAUGAAGAAGAAUCUCUCGAAGACUUCUGGCUGCAGGGGGGCGAAAAAAAAAAUCAACCAUCAAGUAACAAGCACUUUUAAACAUGCGAAUGAACAGUAUGAAAUUGUAAAUUCUAAAUUAGAAUGUUUCCACCACCACGGGGGGGGGGGGGAAUUGACUACUGAAGUCGAUCAAUUAAUUAUACAUGUUUUCAUGCACAGUAAAAAUACUUGUUAAUUAGAAUGGGUGGUAAUUUUUUAUGUGGUUCUUGCCUUGACAAGAACAUAAAGUGGAGAAAAUGCUGUCCCGAGUAAGCAGGGUAUUAUGCAAGUAACUUAUCGGUAUCUCUCCUCUACCCAAAAAAUUUGACGAACACGGGCCGGGCAGCGAUCGUGGCAGUUUUCAGAGGGAUAUAAAGUGAUGUGUCUCGUAGUAAAAAGCAAAGAUACUGGUUGUUUUCAGAAAGAAGAAAAGGUCACAGAAGAGAUGUAUUGUCACUUUUAAGAUUCUCUCAACAGUUGCCUACUUCGAUUCCAUUUCCUUACAACCAAAUAAGAGUACAAAAUAAUGAAACCAAUGCUGCCUACUAAAUCGAAUGAUAACUUCAUAGUCCAAUUCAGAUUAUGCAUGGUAAAAUCCUGCAGCUACGUGCGUGCAAUACUGCAGCACAGUUUAAAAGUAGAAGCAGAAAUUAUUAAGUUGGAGGCCCUGAAUCCCAUCUCGUCAAUGGCUUCAGAAAAGUAGGAAAAAGAAAUAGUACUCCAUAAGUAAUCUUUUUUUUUUUUCCCUAAAAAUAAGAAAUGGUACGGAAAGCAGUAGAGUAGAGAUGGAAUCGAUCAGCAAAAGAAUAUUGGAAUGAGAACAAACAAACAAUUUCUUAAUAACGGUUGGUGGGUUGGUUGGUUAGUGGUUACCUUGUGGUGGAAGGGCAGAAUGUAAUCGUAUAAUCGGCGCCUUUACAUGUAAAAGUACUCGUGGCAUCGUCGUAGGCGUAGCUAUAGGCCCUGGGACACGCAUUCUUGAAAAUCUCCGAAUACAUCGACGGCCUGCAAGUCGACGGUGAGCCAUACUCUCCGCUGCAACAGUACUCCGGACUGCCAAAUGCCUCGCAUGCACUCUUGCAUGCCUGCCCCUCCCCGCCCCGCAAUUCGUUGGGGCACAUCCUGUUCAAGUCAGUCGCACACCCGUUGCCCCGCAAGCACCUGACCCCCACUUGGCUCCACCAUCAUUGGCAGAUUGUACCCGUCCACCAGGCUGACGUCGUAGAAGUCCUGGGUUCCCGAGUCAGGGCCAGACCCGACUGUGAACUCCGCAAGAGUUGCGGGUGGGGUUGCCCCUGCACCAUUGCACUCCAGCUGGUUGGACCCACAAUCGCCGGUGGCGCAGCUUCCUUGCCCGGUUGAGGGGUCGAAUGUACAACCUGUUCUGCCCCAAAACCGGCCUGACCAGCUGGGAGGAGCUUGGAAGGACCUGGACCCCCCGGUGGAAGUUCAAACCCGGUGCUGUCCAACUUGGCGCUGCCGGCGUUGGCUAAUAUUCCUGGCCAUACCAUGUGGUUGCACCUGUUUACUAAUGUAAAUGUAGCCCCUGAAAUUCCUGCCAAAAACACACACACACACACACACAUAUAAAUACAACGUCAACAAUCAGUCCAUUAAUGUGAUUCUUAGUAUGAUCAUCAGUUACAUACACACACAAACGUCACGUGCAUGUUACAUGUAUAUGUGUAUAUAUAUAUAUAUAACUAGCUAGCUGAAUCAACGUUAAUAGAGUAGGUUUUUUUGUAAUUAACUGAAAAUUAAAAGAAAAAGGAAAUAGUAAAAGAUAAUGUUACUGCAUCCAUUAGGAUACAAACCUUUGCUGUUGAUCACUAGGAAAACCAAGAUGAUGCGAAGACAGAAACAAGUCGAGGACAUUGGCAGAAUUGGAAUCAAUCAAUGAAACUUAACGGGAAGAUGAAGAAUAUAUAAAGAUGGCUUUUCUUUUUCUGUGAUCAAAUGAGGACGGUUGUAUUAGGAAAGAAGAGGACGCUGUGGAAUGAUAAGUAAAGGGUUUUUUGGGAUGAUAGGUAGCUGUAAGAUAACAACAAUGGGGUUUGGGCAGUUGGGGUGUAAUACCCAUAAAAUUAUGACAGGUUUUUAUGGGGAGAAAGGAGGAGAUUGAUUACAAUGGUGAUCUGACGAGGAAUGAGGCUGGGGGAUGCUGAUAUGGAAGUCUUUAUAUAUAUAUAUAUAUAUAUAUAGUUGCUGUUUAAGUAAGAUAUGCUAAAGUUUGGUGUGAAUGCAGGAAUAGGAGGUUGACUAGUAGUGUCAAAUCUGCACAAGUUUACGAUAUUUCCUGGAACAAUAAACAAAUUGGAAGCGGCUGGCGAAUUGGCAAUGGCCCCUCUGUGGUAUGUACGGUAUACUCCUGUGGUAUGCUGUAUUGUUUUGUAUAUAAGGGUCUCACUUUUGUUUAAUUUAAGAUGCCAAGUGCAUCCCAAGUAACAAGCAAAUUGGCACUCUACGUGAAAUGAAACUUUUCUAUUGGUUCUGGAACCGACAUGAGAUGAAACUUGUUAUCGGGGCUGCUCAAAGGGAACAAACCUCCCUAACUGUGGUGUGCAACAAUUCUGACUGAAACAGUCUAUUAUUCCGCGGAGAACUGGUGCUGGGGCCUCGCCCUAGUUGUGUCAACAUAUUCCGCCUAACUAUAGCGAUCAGAAAAUUGAGAUCAAGAAUCUAGCCUUUCUCCUUCUUUCGUUCAAUGUGGCAGGAUUCCUACAUUGCUACAGUCUCAAGUCUCGACCCCCUUUUCCAUGGAAUUAGAUUCCUAAUCAAGUUUUCAAUUGAAGAUACAAAAAAAAAACUAGUUCGUUGAGCUUAGUCGAUGAUCUGUAGGAAAUGUACAAAUUCAAGUUGUAGAUUCGAGUGAGCCAUCCAAUAAUCGAUCGGUCAAAACGUUCAGCAAGAAUAUUUGAAGUUCCUUUCACUUGUCUUCCAUUAGCAAAUGGAUUUUGAAUUUCUUUUCUUUUUUCUUCUCUGGUAUUGUGGGAUAAAAUAUUUAUCAAUUUGAAAAGGUAAAUUUCUUAAAAUAAAUUAACUUUGUGACAUGCUUGUACUCAAACUCCGUAUAUCUGCAACAAUUUAUAUCUGUUAGUCACUGUAUGAAGGACCAAAUAAAAGGAAGUAGGAAUGAUGUACCGAGUAAAACGCGACCAAAUUAAACUGUUGCUCAUCAUUAAAAUCUUAAAAUUUUGGUGGGAGCGGGAGGUCAAAUGUUCAAUCUUUGCCUUCCAUCAUAUAUACCACUUAAUUGUGACGAGUUCUUUGUCGGCUUUUUUUCCUCUACACUAGAGUAGAGAGGCUAUAUACAAAUGUUAUAGUUGCGAAAAAAGAAAGAAAGAAGAAGAGUAAAACACUUUUCUGUUUCUGUUCUCAGUCAUCACUGCACAUUUGAUGUUAUAUUUGAUAUGGAGACCACUGAGUCAAUAUUUCGGUGUCAACGAAAUCAUCAAUCAUAGCAAGUGUUGGCCCAUAUUUGGGUUUAAUUCCUAAAAGAAAUCUUGGAUCGACCAAGUGAUCAUUCGUGGGGCGGUGUUUGCUUUUUUCCUUUUCUUUAAUUAUCUCCAUCUCUCUCUCUCUUUUUUUUAACCUUGCAUUUAAACGAGAAUAAUAAUAAUGCUCAAAAUCCACUCGCAUUGGUAGGUCAUUUCAAAUUUUUGGUUGGAUUGCACCAAGCUUGCUUAACAGAGAUCGUAGCUAAUUAAAAAGGGCUUGUGUUUUCUUAUCCAGAAAUAAAUGUACACACAAACGCCGGAAAUGAAAUCGGAAUUUAUGGAGGAUUUCGGCUGCAUCAUCUCAUUUCGCCAAUGAACCGGAGCUUAAUUUUAAUCAACGUAAACGUCCACAGACAUGUUAAUCCAUGUGGAUUGGAUUGAAACGAACCCAUUUCAUGUAAUUUCUGUUAAGACGUUUGUUGUCAAUAUUAAGCCAUAGGACAAGUCAUUUCAGCAUCAACAAUACUUCUCCUGGUGAUGGAAGUAGAAAAGAUGUGCAAGAGAUAUGAUUCAAACCCUCCCUCAAAUUUCACAAAGAAACUGCAAGUACGAGUACGUAGCUAAGGUCCCUGGCCAUAUGAAUAUUACGACUGCAACUGAAAUCCGUAAAUGCGAGCUGAAAAGGCAGCGCUGGAAAAGUGAAAACUGAAAAGUGCGAGGCUGCCCUAAAGAAAUGGACAUAAGAAUGAAAAGAAAGAAGAAAUUGUGCAACUCCACGUCACUGUGUCCGUGCUGGCGUGGAAAGCAGCAAGAUUCACUGUCCCACUCAUUCAUUUGGUUUGCUUAUUGCCGUAAAUUAAAUGAAAACACCCCUAUCCAAAAGUGAACCAUUUUGCUGGAUAAUUUUGUUUGUAUAGAAGAUUAAUUAUUCUAAAAGUGAACCAAAGUAGAACUUAUUGGCUAUAGUAUUUACUUUAGGAGUUGAUGUUGACGACUUGGGCACCCACGUCAGGAUGGCCGAGUGGUCUAAGGCGCCAGACUCAAGUUCUGGUCCUCGUGAGAGGGCGUGGGUUCAAAUCCCACUUCUGACAUUAAUAACACCAGUAUUUUUCUGUUUUUUUUUUCCCCAGCAGCGUACAUGGUGAGAAAAUAAACAUACAAGCAUCAGGUCCCCUGGGUGCUACUGUAAAUGCUGGAAAAUGAUCAGUCAGAAUUAGGAGGGAGGCUAUAGCAACUGGCAAGAAAUAAAGAGUUGCAGAAAGCUACACGAUGCAUGGUGCGGAUAGGAAGGAAAAUGCUUACGCUGUAUAGCAACUGUCUUCUUUAUGCUGUGAGCUUCGUCAGGGAAAUUAAGAUAAGUUCUACUCGAAAAGUUUACUUAGGUACCUUUUCUUUAAGGAAAAAAAAUUUUAAAAGAAAGAAAAACAGAAAAAGAACAGUAAAAGCUUUUACUUUCCCAAAAAAAGGUUCAGUAGAGGAAAAGUCUGCUCACUGGCUGGUGCUGAUUUGAUCUGCUGAUCGGUUCUUACGUGGGAGAAGAAACGUAAGUCGAGUGAUCAUUGACACAAACAGUUGAGAUUUCCACCACUUACUAUGGAUUGGUAAAGGCUCAGAACAUAAUAUUAAUGUUUCUUAAUUGUCCGAAUUACAUCUUUUUGACAUAGUGGCAUUAUCUUCUUGACUCAUUUCAUCAUGCUGUCAUGAUUAACCCCCUGAUUCUUGUGCCUGGACUCAUGCGGGUUAAAUACAAAGCAAAACAAGAAUUGUCAUACAGGAGCAACUAGCUAGCUAGAAGGAGAGAGGAAAGUAGUAAAUUGAUGGAUGGAAAAUGCUUUCUUCAUAGGUUCACUGUCAUGGCUGAUAAACUUUGUCAACAUAUUGUCUAUGACGCGUCACCAUAUCCAGAAUGAGAUCAACCGUCAACGUCGGUCGGUGCUCCCUCUUUCUGACCUAUUUAACAGUUAACAUCGAUUCGAUGUAUUCAACAACUAAUUACGAGGAAGAACGUGCAUUGACAUGUUUUGGUGUCGUGUAAAGGGAUCAUAUCCCAUGUGGAUAAUUGUAUUUCUUUUUCCCCAUCCAUGUACCUUUUGAUUCGUUAUCCCAUUUUAUCUUCCUUUAUCAAAAGGUUUGUGUCAUCCUCUCAACAAAAAAAAAAAGCUACGUGCCCUUGGUCGAUUGGAAAGCUCCCUAAUUAAGGAGUGGGGUGGUUUUGCUCUUCCAUUUGUCUUCCUGCCGCCAGCCCGCAGGUAAUUCGGUAAAAGUUCGUUCAAGAAAGAAGAGCAACCUAAAAAUUCGUCCGUCCCAUUUCUGGACUACUAGUACUAUUCUUCAAUUGCAGAUGUGGUACGAACCCUUAAUUAGGGCAUGCAUGUUCUAUGCUCUCUCCCUCUCUCUGUUUCUCUUGGUAAUUACUUAAAGGCAAUAAUUAAUAUAUAUGUGUGUACAUAAAUAUAUGUGCAUGCAUGGUAGAGAGUAUUGCACGCAUAAAAGUGGGGGUGCUGGCAGCAGGUGGUAAUGGUAAACACUCUGAAAAAUCUGGUGUCUAUCUUAACAUAAAGAAGCUUCUUUAAAUAGCCUAUUGCAGGAACCUAUAAGGAGGAAUGCAAGAAAAGAGGGGACGUGGAAAAAGGAAGGAUACGUGAUGUGGAACCUCAAAAGCAAGCAAACGUGAUGCGUAGAAUGUCGGAAGAAGAUCGACUCUUUUCUUCCUCCUUCCCCCACAACAACAAAAAAAAAAAACCAAUUUAAAGCAUUCUCUAAACACAUCGCUUUUCAUCCGAGAAAAAUAGCCAUUAAUGGAACGUCCCCAACUAUAAACUAAUUACUACGUAAAUGCUAUAUAUCUACUACCUUCUGAGCUAAGUUUUCUUGUCUUCUUCUUCUUUUUUUUUUUUUUUGUGGCAUGUUUUCUUGUCUUCUGGUCAAUGGACUAGGACUGGUUCACUCAUUUGUUAAGGGCUAAAAUACGUGUUUUUUAGACCAUUUGGAGAGCUAAAUAUAAUGAAUGGGUUUUUCGUUGGUGAUUAUUUAUUUGGUGUUAGGUUAACCAGAUUACCACACUGCUUACCAGUUAAAUCAGGGUAACCUUCGGAAUUAUGGUCCUUAAUUUGUUGGGUCUAUUAACUUAUCGUAUCCUAAUCAGAUGGCAUUUGUGCUAUAUCUAUGCCUUUCAAGAUUUAGUUAAGGAAAGGUUCCUGUUGAAAUCAGUAUACAUAUAUAUGCAUGACAUAAACUAUCUGAAUAUAUCGCCUUGACGAAACUAUCUGAAUUAUUCUCCUAGAAAACUUCAGUCUUUCUGCUUCUAUGCGAAUGAAUCCAGGAUAUAGAGUUCACCAAAAGAAAAAAUGGAUUUCUACUCAAGGCCACGUAUCAAUCUGUCGGAGGAUACGGUGCAAUGCUAGGCCAUCGUAGUUUGACCUCAGCUAAUUAAGUUUAAAUGUUUAAUUAUUGGAAAAAUAAACAGACAAUGAAAAAAAAGGGAAAAAAAAAAACGGAUCAAAGUUCAUCCCACUGGAAAUUUUUUUUUUUUUUUUGUCGACACAGGGGUGUCCGGAUCAAUUCUUACGGGGCCCAACUAAUCUCCUGCCGCCCGGGAGAGGAUAUCCCACUCCACACCGAACACGUUAACAACGGAACUUGAACCCUGGACAAGCCAGGAAGAUCGCCAUAUCCUAAGGAGGGGAAGCGGAUCGCUCAAGCUAUCCCCGCAGGAACAAAGACCAGCCACGUAGAAUGGUAAGUUGUGGGAGGUGACCUCCAGCAUCCCCAAAGAAGGGGAUGACCACUGGACCAAAUGGCCAGUGGCUCAUCCCGCUGUAAAUCAAUUAACAAAAUUCUGUGGAUCCAUCUCAGAAACAAAAAUGCUCAGGAUGGAGGAUUCUUCAUUCUUGCACUGAACUAAUCAAGGGGUGUAAAAUGCAAAGGGAAAGGAAUUCAGCCUAAACGAAAGUCCCCAUCCACAACUAUGUGAUUGAUUGGACUUUUGGGUUGAAUCUUCUCUUUGGAUUUCCACAAACAACAGGCCCGCAGUCUCCGCAGUCUCCUGCAGUGUACGGACAAGGACAAGUUGGGCUUCGUUCAAACAAUAAUCGUCCACUCCACUACAGGUAGCGAAAAUGUCGCAACUAGUUUUGAGGAAGUACUCAUCUGCUUCAGUUACAAUUUUUUUUUUUUACCUCCUUCUUCUUUUUUUUUUUAAAAAAAAUUAACUUCUAUAUCCUGAAACCCUUAACUUUUGGCCUGUAAGAGUUACUCAGUUACUUGUCUCUUGGAUUACUCUGUAGAAUGUGAUUGCCAAGUCUAAUUUAAACAAAUUUGAGCAGGAAAAAUGGUUGGGAGCAUUAUCUGCUUCGAUUGUCAACUUCCUCAAAGCCAAAAUCACGCACCGUCAAUUUGAGAAAUUCUUGAAAUAUGCAUAUGCACCAAUGCACGCCUUGAAGAAUGGCAUUUUGUUGCGUUCCACUGAGCAACAUUUGCAUAAAAAGAAAUUCAAAAUGUCGACGCUUUCGUAUUUUAUAGCUUAUCCGAAAACCUUUUUUGGAUCGAGGGGAACAAAAGAAAGAAAUUCGGAAAAGUUUGACUGUAUAAAGGAUUAACUCCAUUAGUUUUAAUGGGGAGGAGCUUAGUCAGUAGACAGGACAGCUGGUGGCGGCUGCCGCCGCUGGUUGUGGUGGUCGUGGCAGCCACGAGACCGCAGCCACCAAAUGGGCUACGAAAAUCCUCAAAUCCAUUUUCUUACAUGUAUUACUAACUACAAAAUGGGUGAUGUUGUGUGGUGGUGGAUUCGACAUCUUUCUGAGUCAUAUUUGAAAGUAGCAGCCAUAAAUGCAUUGAACCACAACUUUGUCAAUGGUAGCUGAUUUAAAGCUCCAAGAACUGAUUGAUUCAAUUUGAUUGAUGAAAAAACCAAAACCAUCACUUUUUUUUUUUUCUUUUUGGUCUCGUUAAUCAAUCAGGGGAUGAGCUCGCUCCGUUUUGGAUAUUGUUCUACAACAUGACUGGUGGUGACGUGUUAGUGUCACCACAUUGGAAAAAAGCGUCUAAGCCCUGACCGCUGACCGGACCCAGAUGGAUUCUCCUAAUCACAUAUAUUAUUACUGCUCAAUUUGAUUUCAGGAGUCGAUUUCUUUGCUGAAAAGCAAACUUGUCGGUCACAUUUAGUCCAACUAUACUCGAGCAGUCCACCGUUAUAGAAACCAUCGUUGGGCUCAAUUUGUCUAAAGAUUUUGAUCAUCUACCCUGCAGGCGGUAGUUAAGAUGGAUCCGAAGUUGAGUGUAGUGGAAGGAAAAACAAUUACUGCUGCUGCUACAUCAUAUCCUCAAAAACUACAAAGACGGCAACUAACCAAAAGAGAGUUGGUGGCUGUCUUAUGUAUUGUAGAUGUAGAUAUAUUUUGGAUCGAUCGUACAUGCUGGCUUGGUUUUCGGUGCGUAGAUAUAUAGUUUGAGCUGUAUCGAUCGGCCUCCGUUUCUCUGCUGCCUUGGUUUAUUCAACACCAGAGAAUAUUCCACGGUUAAAAGAGAACCGCAUUCUUCAUUCAUUCCAGUUUGAUUCGGUACUUGAAUUCAAUCAACGAGUGUUAGCUAAUCUCUCACUACAAUAGAAUUUUGGUUGGAAUCUCAUAUUAUGUACCCGUACUGGAACUGGUAAAUGCAGUAAUAAUGCUUCGGAAGUUGGGGUGUCUUUCUUGUCCAUAAUUAGCUGGAAGCUCUCAAAGUAUUUGUUUCUAUAAUCAGGUGAUCCAGCAAAAAGUAACCUCCAGACCAAGAAAAUGAAAUCUCCUGCCAAUAUAUGCAAAAAAAAAAAAACAGAAGUCAGCAUGCAAGAGGUUAAACCGUUCAUGUGCGUGCACUGAUCUGGUGUUUCAGUUCCUUCAAUUGCAGGUCACUUGGAGAACACAUCACAUGGUAACCACACUUACAUUGUCCGAUCUUUCUUCAUUUUUCUUGACUAGUCUUUUUUUUUUUUUUUUCUCUUCUUUUCUGUCGGAAACAAUAGAACUACUCCAACUCAAUAAUAUGGAGAGGGGGCCUGACCCAAUGGCACCUAGGGAGGAAAUUCUGAAGGAUUAAACCAUCACCGAAACCAAGGGGAGGAAUUCGGACCUACUCUUACUCUAUAUUAUAGGGAGGGAUGAUCCAACGAGGCCAAGGGGAGAAAUUCGAGAGAGUGAAUCAUCACCGAUCUAAACGAAUGCGCUGUCGAAAUAUUUCAGAUAAUUCUGAAUUUUUAGAAUGCAGGUUAAGAGAUUCGAUCUCUUCUUGAUCGAUACGCAAGCAGAUUCUCCAGUUAUUCUAAGAGUAGUUGUUUUGCAUGACUAAUCAUCUACCUACGUGUAUGAAUGAAAAAGUUUUCAACAUUGUUAGUUAACUGAUGUUACAAGCAAGAACUUAAAGUUGGCGUCCAGUGUCGAAGAGUAAUUGGGAAAUGAGCUUUUUAUAUAUAUAUAUAUGCAAAAGCUGCCACGUCACAACGUGAUUUAACACUAAUCACGAUAACAACUCACCGCAACAAAUCAUUAGGCCCUGUAGGUAUAAAAAUAAUUCAGUAAAGUAUCGUAGCAAAAGCAAUAUGGCUAAUUCAGCAAGAUGUCAAAUCAAGCUCAGUAGUGCUUCCUUUUGCUAGGCUGUAGAACUAAUUAUUACUAUAUACUACCAUGGAAGCAGAAUCAUAGGAAAAGGGCAUCAUAGGAAUUCCGUAAUAUUCGAUCAUCACCAAUCCCUUUUUAUAUCAUAUCAUAUCAUAUUAGUACAAUUUACAAUAUCCCAUCCACCUGUGCUGCUGCCUCGACAUUCUAUUAUUAAUAUUGCUCCAUCAGCUGCUUUUAUUUGUUUUUAUUGAUUCACAGGUAUCAGCAACAGCAAAACAUUAAGAUCGAGGAAACAACAAUACAUGACCAAACAAUAAUUUAAGAUUCUUCUGAUUGAUCUGUAGUAUAUACAUACUAGGGCUAUUAUCACUAUACUAACGCAAUAAAUAUUUUGUGUAACCUAAAUUCUGAAUCUCCUACCCCUCUACGCUAUAUUCUUAAAAAAAAAAAAAAAAACAAACAAAAAUUUAAGAACAAUUGGCACCACCCCUACAGCUACUCCGCCUACUAUCUUGUGUAUGUGUCUGCUAUAAUUAGACUCUGCUAUUUGUGUUCCUCCAUGAAAACGAACUACUGCCAGUGACCUGAGCAGAGGGGAUUUGGUCCCACUUGCUAAGCUAGCUAGCUUUCCAUGGUGACUGGGUUCGUCGUCAUGUGGGCCGGAAUUUGGGACCACAGAACGGCAAGGACCAGAUAAACUGAAUGGCCCACAGGUGGUACGCCACCCGAAACCGGACAAGGUUAGAUGGGCCUCCGUGGAAGGUAAUGGGUCGCGAAAAGUUGGUGCUAGAUGUGGACUGAGAGAGGGAGAGGGGCAGAGAAACGGAUGGAAGAAAGGCCAAAAGGAAUAGAAGAAGUUAGAAGUGGUGACACAACCGCCACAUUGCUGCAGCGAUGGCGACAGCAGCGGCAAUGGCCUGCGAUCUGAACGCGUGCAUGCACGAGGAUGCUGCAGCACCGCUCUCCUCCAAAUCUGCACCCUGGUAUAUCAUGGUUCCGUUGAUCAGCGGUGUGUUGUUGUCGUCAUCGCCCGCCGGAGUUUGUGUUGAUUUUUGGCUGCGGUUAUAUCACAUGGUACAUAUAUUAUUAGCAAAAAGGUACGGCAGCCUUAUUAAUAAUAAGUAAUUUCAAGUAGCAUAGCAUGCAUGUUGUCAACUUGGAUAAGGAACAAGGGACAUGGCUAUCAACUUGGGUUGCCAAAAGUUAAUCGAAGUCGGGGUUUCCUGGCGCCAACUAAAAUAGAUUAGACAACCAGGCUGCAUCUAAUCUAAUGGCACUGGAGCAGAGUUUUUGCCCACCAGGCUGUCCAUCCAUUCUCUUCAAUGGCGUAAAUAAUUAGUAGUCAGUUGCCGUCCAUCCAAUUCUUUAUCCCAUCCCGUUUUCAAUUUCCCAUAAAAAAAAAAAAAAUGUCAAAAUUUUCAGGCUGACCAUCAGCAGUUUGGCCUAUGACAAUAUCACUUAUAUCACAAUCAGCAUGCACAUAUUGACCCCCCCAAAUAAUGACGACAAUCCCAUCACCCAUGCUUCACUCAAAGCUGGCAAAAGACUACUAAAGUUUCGAUCAAACCUCCACCGAAUUGUCUAAAUUUUGGUUGACAAAACUUUUUUAGCCGUUGAACCGCAGAAACCUCCUCCAAUUAUUAGGUAUACCGCACAAUACUAUAGUACUGUACUCCUGUAAAUUCCCGAUUCUGAUUAACAAGUGAUACUGUCGCUUUCAUCAGCCCCCGCCCCCAAACGACAGAGUUAGGAGAACAUGGAGACAAGAAUAGGCCUCGUAACGCGUGACAUUUAAGGACCCAGUGGAAAAAAAAAAAAAACCGGAUCAAGGCCUCACAAAAUUAAUUAAUUAAAAUCUCUCCCUAAUUCAGAUCGGUUCAAUUCAUAUUUUUAAGUUGACAAUUAAAUUAAAAUCAUACAAAUUUAUUAUCUGAAUAUUCUGCGUAAAUUUACGGCCAUUACUGGGAGCGAGGGACUCAGAAUUUACCUGGUGUUGGGAGGUGGGCAGAAGGUAAUAAUGUAGUCGGCGCCGGCACACGUGAAGAUACUGGUCUUAUCAUCGUAGGCAUAGCUAUAGGCGCGCGGGCACGCGUUCUUGAACACCUGCGAGUAACUGGAUGGCUUGCACGUAUCAGGAGUGUUAUACGCGCCGCUGCAGCAAUACUGAGCUUGCCCGAACGCCGCGCACGCGCUCUUGCACGCCACUUUCUCCCCUCGCUGCUCGUGACCUUCAGGUCCGAAGGGCACGCCCCGUUCAAAUCAACCACGCACCCCGUGGUUGUACAGUUGCCACCGGAGCCACCUUGCGGGACCACCAGCAUGGGGAGGUUGUAGCCGUCCACCAGGCUGACGUCAUAGAAGUCCAAGCCACCGGCCCCGUCGAGCGUGAAUUCAGCCAGGGUGGCGGGCAGAGCAGCGUUGCCGCCAGCACAUUCUACCUUUCCGGAGCCACAAUCCCCCGUGACGCAGCUGAAGUUGCCGGAGGAGGAGUCUCCCGUGCAGCGGGUCCGACCCCAGAAGCGGCCACCCAGGAGGAAGGUACUUGAAUGGUCCUGGACUCUCCAACUUGAAGAGCAAAGCCGGUGGUGGAAAGCGGGGCAAUUCCGGCAUUGGACAAAAUGCCGGGCCAAAUUGUGUACUGGCACUUGUUUACUAAUGUAAAUGUUGCUGAUGCAUAAAUUCCUGCGUUAUCGUAGGACACGACAAAUAAAUCCUGUUAUGUGUGAAGCGCAAAUGCAUUGCACGGUUCAAAAUUCUAAUGAAUGCUGUAAAUAAGUAAGAUGGACAAUGUUUCGUUUAAUUAGCAUCAAUUUGAUUCAAAUUCCAGGCUAGUGAAUGCUAUGUUUCCUCUUCCGUGAUUUUUGGAGCAAAUUAGCUUGGGCUAGUUACCUGAUGUGAAUUGAUUAAUGAGUGUAAACAGCAGGGGGAAUAAAUAGAGUUGAGCCAUGAAUGAUAUCGUGCUACUACACUUGGAAAAAUGGAAAGAAGGAGAAGGAGGUGGCGGCUUGAGAGGAGGAGACAAUGGAAAUCAACCUUCUUCUCUUCUGCUGCUAUAGGAAAACUGGAAAGCAGGGGAAAUGCAAGGGUGGUGGGGGGGUGGUGUGAAGAGAGAGAGGGAGGGGUUCUGGUGGGCAAGGAUGGCCGCAGGGGUGUAUAUAUAGAGAAUCAGAAGGUAGGAGCGAUCGGUAGUUUUUGCAGUAGUGAUGGGCCCCCAUGAGACGAGGUGGGGGAUGAUGAAUUUGGGCUGCCAGCGUCAUUGAGUUUGUAACUGGCGCCGCCUUCCUCUGUUUUGUAAAGCAAGGCGUUCUCUGUUUUGUAAAGGCUACUUACUGCUCAGUAUUAACAAGAAAGCCCUCUUCCUAAAUUAACACUGCGAUGUGUGCAGAUAGCUUCCCAAUUGGACACUUGCUGAUAAAAUGGAAUGGAUUUAGCAAAUAUUAAAUGGGCUUUCAGUAAAUUUAAGUCGUCAUUUCAGGUUUGGAGUACACAUUUUUACGUUUGCGGUUGUGGUGAAUGAUGCAGAAGUUAAAACGUUGUUUCUUGUUUUUAGUUUCAGCAUUAGCGUACUGAUACAUGCAUUACACUCUGCUCCACGAUUGAAAUUGACACUGUAGAGAUUCGCAGCCCUUUGGCUUUGAUGAUGAUAAGUGAUAAGUGCAUUUUCUUUCCUUUCUUUCUUUCCAUUUGAGAAGAGAAAUGGAAAUGAAGAAGGACCAGUGUGUUUUGGGGGGAGUGCAUUUAUCAGGAGGUCUGCCUUUCAGUCAAAUUUGCCGUUUGUAAGAGACUCCAAACCAAAGUGCAAAAGUAACACGUACUGUAGAAGAAGAAGUUAUGAUGAUCUGAUGAUUGUGUGGAACACGUACUAUUUGUUUUGGGACCCAAGUCCAAAAAUAUAUAGAUGAUGUUUGACCCUUGGCAAUGUGGUCAAGACACAUGUUCUAAUUUCUAUACAUCUCAUUUUUACCGAUAUUUUACCUCAGCAGAUUGGGGUGCUAUAUGUACUUAGUAUGUGGAUUGAAUAUGUAAUGUAGAGUACACGGAAAGCAAAGUUUAGAAGUAGCCGUAUCUGCAUCUACUUACAGAUACAAAAUUGAAAUAUUUGAAACGUUUAAGCUAGAGACUCCUAUCACCAGGGAGGGGCUUAAGUCCCUCGUUGAACUGUAGGUGAGGUUCAAAUCUCAUAUAUAGCGAAAAAAAUUUAAGAGUUGUGUCAUAACACUCCCUUGAUCUAGUUGGGUCUGUAUACCCACUAGCCAGCGAAAAAAUCUAAGGGUUGUGUCAUAACACUCCCUUGAUCUAGUUGAGUCUGUAUACCCACUAGCUCCUUACCACAGCCUCCUUAGGCUCCCCUCUCCCUAGAUUGGGAUAGAGUAAGUUAUACAAAUGUAUCAUUGCUGACAAAAAAAAAAAAAAAGACUCCUAUCACAGCUUCCUAAAGAUAUCUAUGCGAGUAUCAUUAUUCCCAAUAACUUUAAGAAAAAAAUGGGGGCAGACGCAGAACGUGACAUGUAAAUGUUACAUCAGUGGCUGUCUGCUUAAAAUUUCUAAUUGAAGAGGACUACUCUUAUCAAAUCAACAAAAAAACAAAACUGUUUGGAGGCACGAAGCGAUAAGAGGAAUGCUUGCAAGCAUCAACUACCGGGUAGCUAGCUUAAAUAAUUAAAGCUCACUACUAGGAUCCACCACAACAGUCGACUGCUAUGCAAUAUGCUUUUUGGAACUGGUUUCACAUGAUAGAACCACAAGGAAUCAUGCCAAUUAGCACUCUUAAAGUGUGUUUACCAUUUUUUUUUUUGGGUUAAAAGAAAAAAUUUCUUACUUAGAAAAGGGGCGAGAUUUAAGAAGAGAAGAGGAGGAAAUGGGAUUAGAAUCCAUAACUUCUUCAAGAUAUUUUAGUUCAAUUCGACAUUGAUCGAAACAGUUUUAUGAUCGAACUUAAGCGCAUUUCUAAAGCCGAUUAGAGAAAAAACAAUCCAAGUUCAAUAAUAUAAUUGUCGCUGAUUGGGCAUGAUGCAACCGAGAUAUAUAUAUAUAUAUAUAUAUAUAUAUAUAUGGCAUAAAAUUUCAAAUGUAACGCAAAGCUUUUUGAGUGUAGGGCUGGUUUUGAGGGGGAUAAAAACCCCAUCCUGCAAAAGAUAGGGCAACACAAAAAAGGGCGUAGAUGUAGAAGAAAAAAUCUCAAAGGAUCAGUCGCUGUAGCGUAAUUACAUUGGCAAUUUGGCUGUUAUGCAAGCAUUUAGAAGACAUUUCUAUCCAUAGUGUGCCCGGAAACAACCGUCGGCUGGCCGUUGCUAAGGUCCCCACUUUGAAAGGCUAACCAUUAAAUAAAGAGGACCCUGUUGUCGUAGAGAUAUUGAUCAAGAGAUACACGAGCAGUUGAAGCCAAAUUGGUAUUUUCAGGAGAGCAUUCAAUCAAUGAUUCUGAUUGUUUCUACAACCCACAGGAAAUAUGUAGAAAGCAUGCCAAUCACAUUUGGUAUUUCGAUUAAAUAAACAAAUUAAUAAAUUGGUUGAACAGAUAAACAUCAUUGCUCAAUACCACUAAACUUGGGGGGAAGAAGCUCCUGGCACAACGUUUGGUUCGUCUCCACAAUCCAGUUAGCACACCACGAAACAGGAAAUGUCAACGAGACCAUAUCAUUAUUGCUUUCCAAAAAAAAAGGGGAUUUCGAGAAUUGAAGUUACUGUGCUAGGUGGGAAAAAUUGGCGGCUGAAUGUAGCAGCAGUUGUAGUAUUAAAACAGAAAGAAUCCCCAUUUGGUGAUAUUUUUUCCAUCGACCAAUUCGAGAGACUUCAAAGCUCAAAGAUGCCAUUCUUUCGGUGUCUCAUCAAGUCCAAUUGGGCUCCUCUGUUCUCUCUCACGGUCUCACCUAACCAUAAUAUUACUAUCACAAUAAAAGAGUAAAGUAGAUUGUUGGCGUCAAAAAUCUUUUCAUGUUUUUUAAAGCUCAAUUUAAGCAAACAAAUAAUAAUGUUUCAUCAAUUCAUGCACUUGACGGAUGGGGUCAAUCGGAUUACGACAAUUACCAGUACUAGGAAGGCAGGCAUGAAGGAUCAAAUUAGCAGACUAGGAGCUAACAUUUGACUGUCAAGUGGUAGCUUAGUUUACCUGCAUUUACGGUCUGUUUCUUCAUUCGUUGAACUGCCGCCACCUUCUAUUAAUAUUUAAUAGGCGGCGGUAGUGCUUGCUUUGGUCCGGUUCAAUUAAAAUAAUGAAGAGCACGGAUUAGUAGUUCUUGGUGGAAAACAAAAAAAAGAUGAUGUGACGCGGGAGUUGUGUCGAGGCCAAACUCAGGAAUGACGGAGUGACGUUUCUCCAUGCUUACGGGCUACCUUCUUAAAUGUAUGAAUAUCUGUAAAUUUUCCAGUGUUUGAUUCCGAUUUUAAAUGUACAACUUGGAUUAGUAUGCUUGUACCCGUUUGGAACUUGGAUUAGUAUGCUUGUAUGUGGAAACCUUGGUCAAAACCAAAUGGCUCAUCCAAUCCAAUGCGCAUUUUCCCAUCCUAUAAUACGAUUUUGACUCUUACCAGACAUCGUCACAGGCUGAACUCUGAAGGCUUCAGACAGAAUCUGGUUUCAACUUUGAACAUUGAACUUAACUUGUAGAAUCGUAUUUGGCUAAAAUAAUGCUCCGUCGUCAUGAAACUGCCACAUUGGGACCGUAACUACUUCCGAAACGCCAACCAGCAACCAGGAGGAAACCGGGAGCUUUGACUGCUAAUGAAGAAACAUUUGUAGAUUGUGUAUGCGUAAAUUAGCAGCCUUUGCCUCCCCACCAAAAAUGCCACAUUUCAGUGGCUUGUUUUUUAAAAAAAUCCAGGCGAGUGUGCUGUGCAUCGUUUGGUCCGGUGGUAUGUUCAGUCCCCUCCGGACAAUGAUGGAGCCAAGGGGGGACAGAGGGGGGCCAUGGCCCCCCUAAGUUUGAAAAUUUUAAUUCAUAAUAUAUAAUAUGUGUGUAAAAUAAAAUCGGCCCCCCCUAAUUUUUCAAUUUUAGUUAUAUAUAUAUAUAUAUUAAUAUAUAUAUAUAUAUAUAUAUAUGAAUUAGUUAUCUUUGAAUUACUUUUUUCUUCAGAAAAAGUUAUUUAUUUUUUAUUGUACUAAUUAUUUAACUUUCAAAAAUUAAACGUAUAAUUGAUGUUCCAUAGUAAAUUGACCCAAUGUGAUGUAUUAGAAUAAAAAGACCCAAUUCAUAAUUGUUAAUGGCUAAAAAGACCCAAUUCAUAAUUGUAACUAGUACGUCUAAGAAUAGAACUUCAAUAUUUGAGCUCGACAUUCCAAAUCAUCACGAAUUGCAAGAAUUAUUGGUAUUCAUGAGUUAUGUCAGACUUGGUGAAGACAAGAAAAUCAGUGAUAUAUCCUCUUAUUGACAGAUUUAUUAGACUUGUUUCUUACUCUUCCUAUAUCAACUGCAACUACAGAGCAGGCAUUUUCAAAUGAAAAUAAUCAAGACAAAGCUCCGAAACAAGACGGAAGAUAAUUUCUUGAAUAAUUGUCUAACUGUGUAUAUAGAAAAGGAAGUUGCUGAAAAAUUUAGCAGUGAUUCAAUCAUAGAUGAAUUUAGUUCUAUGAAAGAGGGUAGAGCUCAAUUUACUUCUAAAAAAAGAUGUUGAAAUUUCAAAUUAUGUUAACAUAACUUUUAUCUUUUUCAAUUGAAAAUAGUUACAUUUAUAUUACACGGUUAUAUAUAUAUAUAUAUAUAUAUAUAUAUGCAUAGGUGACAUAUUGGAGAGCAUCUUCUCAUAAUGUGCAAAUUGGAUGGUUUGUGAUGUUAUAAGAGUUUUAAUCAAAAGUUAUCUUUUUUGUUAAUUUUUGUUAUGACUAUACCGAUAUUUAUGAAUAGACAUACUUUAUAAUUAAAUUUAAUAUUUGAUAUAUUUUUUAGAUGUCAUAUAUUUAAAUAGAAGAAAAUUAUUUUGAAACAUAAUAUAUUAAGAUAAUUUUAUUAGGAAAAAAUUUUGGCCCCCCCCAAAAAAAAUCCUGGCUCCGUCACUGCCUCCGGAUUAUUCCUGGACCUCCUUAGGUCCGCCCCCUCCCCCUUAGUGUAGGAUAAAAUAGGUUUAUCGUCUCAAAAAAAAAAAAGAAUGCGUCUUGUGGGCUUAUCUUAUCUCAAUUGCAUUUGUCCCCCACUUUGUAGACUCCAUUUUCCCUCCUGCGGGGCCGGCCGACAUGUUCUACGAGUUAGGUGCUAGAAAAACACACUAACAUAAGAUCAUAAAUACGUUAAGAGUUUUUUUCUUUCUUUUUUUUGGGGUAGUGGUUGAUAAGUUAUACUCCUUCCAUCCCACUUUGAUAUGUUGCAACAUCUACCUUUAAAGAAGAUAUUGAUAUCUGGUUUGGACAUCAAACCCGAUUUAGUUUCAUCCACACCACCAAAAAUCACAAAAAUAUAUAAUAACCGGUUUACUCGAUUUUGCCCUAGCUUUUACCUCUUUAAUUUAGUCAAUUUUGAUUGAUUUCUUGCUACAAAAUUAGACCAAAUUAGUGUGCAAUCAACGGAAAAUUCCUUCGCAUUAGUAAGCUAGCUUUGUAAGGUAAGCAAGGAAUUAUUACAGGAAAUACAUAUAUGCAUAAAAGACACUAAUGUCUGUCUAAUGAACCGAAGCUUGCCUUGCCAUCACCGUAACAGCUGAGCAGAUAAAAGUCCAAGAUUGGCCGGAGGGAGUAGUAACUUAAAAUGAGCCGCCAGUGAAAAAAACCCUGAAUAUCAGGUUUCUUUCCUUGAUCAUAGCUCUUGUGAAACCAAUACUCCUGCUGUUAACCAUCCGGGCUGCCUGCCUUCCGAAUGUACAGUGACAUGAAAAAAAUCAUUUCACUGUAACCUUUUAAUUUGACCUAUUGCUUUCGUUAUGCAUUUUCAAAGAGAGAGUAGUGCGUGUUACGACUUUGGUGGUAGAAAGUAGAAACAUCAAUUGUGGAAGGACGCUCGCACGAUUUUAGUUCCCGGUUUAGACAGACCAUAGUAGAUAUUCAGGCCGAUUUCAUGCAUGAGAACUCGAAUACGCAAGGACUUCCUACACCAACGAUAACGAUAUAUAUGUGGGAUGUUACCUCUUUCUGAGGAGGAGGCUGAGUUAGAUCAAUGGACGACUACCGUGGAUCGGAUGGUGAAAGCAUCCCGGACCACGCCCAUUGCCGUUAAUUUUGAAUAUAAGCAGACGCAUGACCACUCCUGUACCGAGUUUCGUCAGCGGAUACACCAAAUUAGUGCUGCACAUGAUUCUUGCUUUAAAAAAAAAAAUAGACAAUUGAACAUCAGAAAGGUUUUUGAAGUUCUCCUACCUAACUCAAUUAUCCAGUUCACACAUCACACAGGACAGGUUUUAGCGUGUAAUUUGCACCAAGUACUUUCCAAUUGUCACCUUCUAUUUGCAGAAAACAUCUGCUCCGCCAAAACACUCUCUAAAGUCCAAAUGGAGGGUCUCUAAUUCUUCUUCCUUUUCUCAUGCCUCGCUCUGUCCUUGCGUGAUUUGCUGUGACGGGAAGACAUGACAAAAAACAAAAAAGUUCAAAACAUCAUCAGAUAGAUUGGAGAUUUCAACCGAUACAAAAGAAGUCUUUGUCCUCGACUCGUGAUCACAUCACAAUCGAUGAUAUUAACAAAAUAAAAAGCCACCAUCAUAUGGUCUUCAACAGGACAAACACCAAUCCUUCAGUGUCUUUAACUUUCUUUCCUAUUCUCCUCAUAAGCAGUCCACCGCCUCCUCACUUUCUACGAAACCCUGUGGUACAGCAGUGACAAUAUAAAGAUCCUGCGACGAAACUAAAUAUUACCCAAGGGAAUUCUUCAUUUCUAUUUUCCCUUUUUACUGGAUUAAACAGUAUAAAAAAUGGGAUUUGAUAUGGCAGACCGUCAUAUUAGUGCUUGGACAGAACAGAUAAAUUAGACGUAGGUAUACAGACUAGACAACUAAGUCAUUUAUUCUAUGGGAAGCUGCUUUACAAGGCUCCGAAGGAAACGAGUGAGGCGCCUUUUAGCACCCACGACCUUUGCUUCCACUUCUUCCCCCUUCUCUUCUGAUUCUGAGCUGACCUGAUGCUCUUGCAUGACAUGCACUUUCCUUACAAGCCUUCUUAGUUCCUAUCAAGGAAAUUGAGAAGCGUAGAUGAAAACCGAGACAAAUGUAAUAGUCCAAGCACCAUUACAUAAAAAAUUUAAACAACUCUGAUCAUUCUGAAAAGGUGAUGCUGCGCUUAUAUCAAUUUGUCUGUAGCUUCACUGAAUAUCUACUAGCACAAAUGUAUUCAACGAGUGCCAAGCUUCUUAUUUUCAGUUUCCCACAGCAGAAACAUACACAAAUUACUUCUCUACACUGAGAUGCAAUAUCACAAACACCGGGGAACCUCAAACAUUCCAAAAUUAUAUCACCAAUCUUCUGAAAUAAUAGGAAAUGACAAAGCAUAGUUCCAUCUGUACCAAUAUCUUCAUAUAAAGCAACUAAAUAUCAUUUGUUAAAUGAGGACACAAAGGAAAGUGAAUACUGGACACGGAAUCAAGCGGCAAAUAAAUAUCAAAGAGCCACUGAACUGCAACUAAGUUUUCGUGCAUGGAAUCCUUGGACAAGCUUUGGUUUUUUUUUUUUUUCCUUUUUUGGGUUGGUACAAAAGAUAAUAAUAUAUUAAAAACUAUUCUUGGACAAUCUUCGCCAACUACUUGGAGGAAUUGUCUUCCUCUUAAUCAAGAAACCCAAUUCCUUUCCUCUUCCUCAGAUCUAUCCAGACAAACCAACAGAGAACUGCAAUUUAGCAUUGCUUGUUAAUUUUGAAGGAAAUGCGCAAACUGUUUUUGGAACACAGGAUAGUAUUCAGCAGUAUCAACAAGCACCAUAUUAUCACACACAUAGCACUAGGAGAGUCAUUGUCUUUCCAAGCUCAAUUACCCACUUUUACGACAGACAGAGCCUUUCUUCUAGUAAACUACUCUCGUAAUUACAUAUCACCAAGAAAUCAAUCAACUCCAUAAUUGGUCUACAUGAAGCCAAAAGAAGGUAGAACCCGCACCAUUGCAAUAACUGUGCAAGGUAUCCCCAAGAAAAAGCCCCUUAAAUUGAAGUGAUUUAAAGCUUCACAUGGGAAAUCCCCAUUAAGUGUCUCAUGAUUUCAUAUAUCCAACUUGUAGUAGAAUUCAAUGACACAUGAAAUCCAGCAAACUUUGCAUAUAUACCCAAAUAAUUUGAUCUCAAGCCUUAAACCAAAUCUCAGGCAUGAAACUAACACCCCCAAUGUACAGAAGUUUUUCACCAUGCUAGAAACUGAUGAUCACUAAAUUGAUAAUUGACCCAUAGGUCAAUUCAGAAUAACACGCUUGAAGUUCCCUAUAACUAUGUUUGACAUGUAUUUAGAGAAACUCAGAGUCUCAAUUUUCAACCUUGCAACACUCAACAGUGUCCAGCCCUUGUUAUCUUUAAUUAAAUUGCAUGUGUUCAGUUUUCAAUUUCACUGAAAGUUACUUGAGAGCCAAAUUGAUCAUCCAAUUGAAAAUCAAUGUUUAAAAAAUAACCAAGUGAUGGAAAAGAAAGAGACCUAACCUGACGGUCAAAAUCAACGCUGUCAAGUGAGUAGAUUUCAUUCAUAACAUCAAUAUCUUUUUUGAUCAAUCCCUCAAACCAUCUGGUUGUUAUCUCAAUGCAAUACUCUGGAUCCUGUAAACAAAAGCUAAGGAAAGUAAGACAUUGGUGAAGUAAAUCACUGUUCUUCACAUGAUGCAGUUGAUCUGAGUCAACAAAAUCCAGAAAGGUAGGGCAAUUCUUUUUAGUAAUAAAUCAAAACUAAUUUCAUUAAAAGACAGGAGAAGCAUUGAGUUUUGCAGAGGAUUCAUGUCAGAUUAUUUUGCAACAGCAUGAGAGGGAAUAUCCUAUUAUUUAUGUCAGGUACCAUAAGAUAAGGAAUAAUUCACAUCAUGCCUUAUUCUGAUAUAGCAUAAGAGGGAAAGGUCAUUCUAUGUUCUGUAACAUGUUCGUUUUGGCAAUAUGUUUACUUCAAAUAACAGAAGAGGAUGAGAAAAUGGAGGGAGAAUCAUAGCAUCCAAUAUAAGUUCAAGUUAUCGUGUAAAAGCCAGGGCAUACAUCUUCACACUCAUCUUCAGUUUCUUCUGCUGUGUCAUCACUAUCUUCAAUUGCCUGUGCUUCUGGACCACAUAAAGUUUGAAACUUGCCAUUGUCGCCGUCCUUUGUGGCCUGGAUUAACCCGUCCAUCAAUUCAGGCUCUACCUCUCGGAGCAGUCUUCCUGAAAUGGAGAUGAAAGACAUCAAAAUCUGUCCAUUAUACUAACUAUCAUUACAGAUUUCUAUGUGAUCAGACAAAAAUAAUGUCCAGUUUACUGAACAAAGAAUUACUAAAACUAUGCACAACAGCGAGCAGAUUGAACAACAUUUUUACCAGUUUGUUGUUAUAUACAGGAGGAAGGAGGAAAAUCAAUAAACAAACAGCAAAAACAUGGUCAUAAACUAAUACAAGAAUUGUUUCACUUCCUUUCUCUCUUCCCCUUUUCCUACUCAAAACGUGUAAUCCUUCAAUGAUCCCCUGUUGUUUGUCAACAAGAUUACAUCCUAUCUCUCAUAAGAAUGAUGAUAUAACUUCUUUAAACUUGUCCCUACUUAUUCAGUUCUCACUAUCAUUGAAACUUGUGACUUCCCUGCAGACAAUAUCAGGAAUUCGAAUCCAAAUAUGAUGCUAGAGCUUUCCCUCACGAGGCACAAAGACUUUCCUUCACUGGAGAUGCAAAAUGUCAACGAGCCUUUCAAUUCAGGACAACUAAGAGAAAAGAUGCAAAGAUCCACACAUUGCCCUGCAUGGCAACUAACUAGUGACCAAGUGACCAAACUUUUCUCCUCUAUAAUCAAACAUUGCAUGCCAACAUUGCCUACAUAUCCGAAUUAGUUGAUAUCAAUGAACAACGAAAUGAUUGCUUUCCUCUUCCUAGUCUUACCCUUCAAACUCCACCGUACCAUCGGUUCACAACCGUUACAUACUACUAUAUAUAAUACCUUCCUACAUACAUUUCGGAUAGUGAGAAUUAAAAAUGUAAAAUAUUCAUAGGGGAAAAGUAUCGAGCUAGAAAUUCAAGCCGCAUACCUAUAUAAUUGAACUGUCUUCGCUUUCCUUCUCGAACAUCGCGACCAAGCCUCUGCGACAAUUUCACAAAAACACCCUACUCACUCACCACCUCAACCAGAGCACCGCAAUAACUUGUAAAUUUUUUGCAACAAACAAAACUAAACUAAUCAAGAGAACACUGAGUAGUGAUUAUACUACCUUAACUAGCAUGAGAGCAUCGUAAACUUCACGCUCAAGAGAGGCCACUCUGCACUCAAAACACCAAACAAGCAAUUCAUCUUCAAAUACUCAACUAGCAGCAAUCACCAGAUCAUUUUGAUGAGAAAUUUCUGAGAGUAUCAAAAAGGAGAGUGAGAGUAAUAAUGGAAAUGCACCUGAGAAUGCGCUUGAUUUGAGGUGGAGAGAAGUUAGCGAGCUCCAUCCCCCAGCGGACGGCGCGCUUAGCCUCGCGCUUCUUCUCAUUGCGGCUCUUCUUGGCGGAACCGUCGUCGGAAGAGUCGCUGUCGCUCUCAGUGGUAUCGGACGGCAAGGGAAGUUGACGCAAUUUGAGAGCGCGUGUACGGAAGUGGAGGUUGCGAGCAGAGACCAGGGGGGAGGAAUUGAUGAGUAAGAGUUGGUGGGGGAAUUUGGCGGUGGUUUCUGCGGAAGGGAGGGAGCAGGAGGUAAGGAAAUAAUAGAAUGCUCCGGCGGAGCAGUGGCAUUGGUGAUGUAAUCUGGGCAACCGCGCCAGAGGCCUUAAAACAUGCGCCAUUGCUGCUGAGUUAGAGCCUAGAGUUGGAGCGACUGACCCACUCGUCGCUGGUUGCUCGAAAUUCAGAUUUCAGAAGAAGGUGCUGCUACGCCCAAAUCAAAUGGGUUUGCAAUCAUCAUUAUGGGCUCAUAUUGUUUUCUGUCCAUUAAGUUGGAUUUGGGCCUCAAAUGAUUAUAUGAACUUGAAAAUGUAAUGGACCAACAUCACGAUGCAUUCAUACAUACCAUACUGGCCUACCUUUCCUGUUGCCUAUUGGGAACAGACAAUUGGAAGCCCAUGUCUUGAGCCUUUUUAAUUUUUUUUUCCUUUUCUUUUUGUGUUUCUAAAAAAGUAGCGCUAUAAAAAUACAGAUUCAGAAUAUGCUGUCGAAAAUGAAAAGAAAAUGUUCGUGCUAGCUUUGCGUUCACAUAUAGUUUCCCAUUUAGCAAUGCACUGGGAAUUUGAACCUGCAUUUGAAAUCAGUUGGGCAACUUUAAUUUUUUUUUUUUUUUUUUGUCGACACGGGGGUGUUCGGGUCAAUCCUUACGGGGCCUGACUAAUCCUCUGCGGCCCGGGAAAGGAGACCCCACUCCACACCGAACACAUUAACAGCGGAACUUAAACCCUAGACAAGCCAGGAAGGUCGCCAUACUCUAAGGAGGGGGAGCGGACCGCUCGAGCUACCCCGCGGGGAUACUUGGCAUAAAUUUUUUUUUUUUUAUAUCCAAAGGAGAGGCAAAGGCCCCUUAACGCGGUACUAAACGUGGGAUCGUGACCCCAAUCACAUCGGCUCCUAAGAGCUGCUCGUGUCCUGGUGGUGGUUCCUCUAACAGUCCAUCAUAUGAUAGCUGUGAUUGAGAUGGCUAGCCAGUUGCACAUCUAUUCCCUUCUCUCCAGGUGUGCUGCAGGGUACAUGACCAGUCUCUGUCACUCAUGCCUCUUAUCCGUUUAAGCAGAUUAUGGUAAGGAGAAGCGAUCGCCGAUUCCCUUGCCAGUCCAUAGUCUUUGCAAAACCCCCCAACCCACGUCCCCUUGUCAUCCUUAAUCAGCCCUCUCACACCUGGUCUUCCAGGAUUUAUCUUCGAGGCCCCAUCUACAUUAAUUUUAAUCACACCUUCACACGGACACUCUUGCUUUGGUGAUUUGCUGAAGCAAGAGUGUUUUAACAUUUGAAUGUUAAAUUCACUUUUAAGGAAAGUCACCCAAGUUUAGGCUAAGAAAUCUUGUUAGAAAUUGUAGUGCCAAACUAGCUCGUACAAGUUUUGUUACGAGAGUUGUGUUUAAAGUUUAGAUGUGUUUUCUCUCAACACGAUGAAUGACUGAAUAAGGCCUAAAUCCAUCCUAGAAUCAUCAUUUUUUAAGAGAAGAAAAGUUUAUAUCAAAUCAGUGACCCCUUUUACUUUGAUGGAUCUCAAUUUCAUCACAAUAAUAAGAUCGGUUAUUGGAGUAUGAGUUAUAUCUAAUUGAAGAGGGCAAAGCUUCUUUCUCCUCUGCUGCAUGAUAUUUCCUUAGAUAACUUUAAUAUUUUGCAUUUCGAGACAUAGCAAUAUCAUGAUGAUAUUUUUGGAUUGCAAAAAAAAAGGUGAAAGCAAUCUCGGAAUUUGGUCCUUUUAGUAUCAUUUGUUUGUCAUUUAUUUAUCAUUUUGGGUGGUGAUGAAGCGGAAGAAUCCUAGCUUCACAGUCUAAGUCUAAUAUGUGGAUCCAAUUCUUCCCAAUCCUUUUCUGCAGAAAUAUCAUUUUAAUCAAUUGGGAUAAUUUCAGAAACCUCCCUCAAGGUUUUUAACAAUUUCCUUUAGCUCCCUUGAUAUUUUAAAAAUUAUACAUACCUCCCUUGUCAUUUAAAAGGACAAUACUACCCUUAAAUAUUUUAAUGAAAUUCCCUUGUUUAGUAUGCUUAUACUAAGAAUAGCUUUUAAAAUUAUUUUUUUCAUUCUUUUUCCUCCUUAUUCAUUUUUUAAAAAAUUUUUUGCCAAUAAAACUAUAGAAUUACCACUAUUACCUCUAGUUUCCAUUGUAAUCAAAUGUCAAACUAGUGAUUUUUUUAAUGAGUUAACUUUAUAUGCAAUCCAAUGCUUUGAUGAUCUUUGUUUACUAUUUUUUGGUAUUAAAAUUACCAAUAAAUAAAAAAGAAAUUGCCCAAAAUCACUACUAAAUUAUGAUAAUCCCACUACUCAAAAAAUUCAUAAAUUCUAAAUGAAUUAUUUUAACAUUUUCUUUUCUAUUUUAUAAAUCUAAAUUCAUAACAAAAUACCAUAAAAAAUAUCAUAUCAUAGUGAUAAAAUUAUUAUUAAUAUAGUUGUUUAUCAAAUAAUAGUUAUGAAAAUUUUAGCAUCUUUUCUUUAUAAUUAUACUAGAUAAUCUUAUAAUUGUAUAGAAAAAAUAAAUUAAAACUCCUUACAUAAGGGUAUUUUUGGGUAUUCACUUAAAAAUUUGACAAAGUCAAAUAUUAUUUUAAGAUUUUGUUACUAAAUCUAUCAAAUUCAGAGAGGUAAGUGCAAUUUUUCAAACUUUAGAGGAGCUCGGUGAAAUUGUCAGAAACCUCAAGGGAAAUUUCUAAAAUUAUCCCUAAUCAAUUCCUAUAUACAUAUGUGUGUGUAUAAAGUGCCAAUACUCGUUGAUGUGACUAAUCUCUAGAUUAGUAGUUGAUCAUGAUCGAAAUAAAAAUUUCCCAAUUAUAAAGCAGUAUUAGUAGCCGUGACAUGGAUUCGCCAAACUUAAAUGUCUUUUGCAAUUUUCUUUAAAGUGGCUAGGGGUAUUUUAAUACUACGAGGAAUGGAAUCAGAAGAAAAGACCACAAAAUCAAAGGAAAAAGUAGAUAUAAUAACUCACAAAGAAAAUUACUACUAGUAUACAACAUAUUAUUAUUGUUUGUUCUGACAUUAAGAUAAGAACAAUUGUAGUGGGAAUUGCAUUUCUAACAAACACAUUUUCUUCGAAAAUACCAUGUUGUAAGUCGAAGCAACAGCUAGUAUUCCAAGUCAGACACCUAAAACUCAGCCUGAUUCUAGAAUCUACAUCUACGGUACAUGUUAAUUACUCCUAGUAAUUGAUACUAGUAGAUGCAAUAAAAAGGGCGUAUCUGUACAUUUCCUAAAAUCUGAAAAG